AUUGAACGCUGGCGGCAGGCUUAACACAUGCAAGUCGAACGAGUGGCGGACGGGUGAGUAAUGCUUGGGAAUCUAACUUAUGGAGGGAGAUAACUACAGGAAACUGUAGCUAAUACCGCGUACCAUAGGAUGUGCCCAAGUGGGAUUAGGUAGUUGGUGAGGUAAAGGCUCACCAAUCCGAAGAUCUCUAGCUGGUCUGAGAGGAUGACCCGCCACACUGGGACUGAGACACGGCGCAGACUCCGACGGGAGGCUGCAGUGGGGAAUUUUGCGCAAUGGGGGCAACCUUACGCAGACAUGCCUCGUGAAUGAAGAAGUCCUUCGGGUUGUAAAGUUAUUUCGGUAGCGAGGCGUUAGCUACAGAAGAAGCACCGGCUAACUCCGUGCCAGCUGCCGCGGUAGUAC
rnacentral:rRNA from 1 species